GGACUACAAGGGUAUCUAAUCCUGUUUGCUCCCCUUGCUCUCGCGCCUCAGCGUCAGGUAUAAACUAGAAAACCGCUUUCGCCACUGGUGUUCUUCCACAUAUCUACGCAUUUCACCGCUACACGUGGAAUUCCGUUUUCUCCGUCAACCCUCUAGAAUCAUAGUUUCAAAUGCAGCUCCGAAGUUGAGCUUCGGAAUUUCACAUCUGACUUAUCUUUCCGCCUACGCGCCCUUUACGCCCAAUAAUUCCGAUUAAUGCUUGCACUCUCCGUAUUACCGCGGCGGCUGGCAC
rnacentral:rRNA from 1 species